rnacentral:rRNA from 1 species
GUUAAGUCAGGCAACGAGCGAGACCCACGCCAACAGUUGCCAGCUCGUCCUCCGGGAUGGUGGGGACACUGUUGGGACCGCCUCUGCUAAAGAGGAGGAAGGAAUGGGCAACGGUAGGUCAGCAUGCCCCGAAUUAUCUGGGCUACACGCGGGCUACAAUGGGUGGGACAAUGGGUAUCGACACCGAAAGGUGAAGGCAAUCUCCUAAACCCAUCCGUAGUUCGGAUUGUGGGCUGCAACUCGCCCACAUGAAGCUGGAAUCUGUAGUAAUCGUGUCUCAAAAUGGCACGGUGAAUAUGUCCCUGCUCCUU